CGCCCCCCCCCCCCCCCAGUUCCCGAGGCUGAUCUGCUGAGCACGCCGCAGGGUGCUCAGCUGGGCAGGGGACGAGCAGGACCAUGCUGUUCACCACCCCCUGAACCUGGGGAAAGGGCUGGUAACAGGGCCAUGUGCGAGGCCCAGCCUGCCGUGGUGGCAGGGCGGCGUGGGCUGUGCGAGCGGGGCUGCUGGGUUGGUUUCCUUGUGCCGGGAACUCCUGGGUCUCAGCCUUGCCUGGGGCUCCCCCUCGCCAGGGGAGCCAGCGAUGCUGGGGCUCCCGGAGGGGCUGCGGCCUUGGUGGUGUCUCUGGGGAUAUUGCCAGGAAGUGACACUUUCCAUUUCGCACAACACUGGGCUGCGGAAGGGGGCAGGGAGGGGGUUGCUGCUUCGCCGGUGGAGUGCACAGCGAGACACCGCGGGAUGGAAGAGAGGGUCACGUACGCUGAUCUGCACUUCCCCCCGCCCCCAGGGCGAUGCCAGUUCUGCCCAGCUGGCUGGUUCUGGGACGCAGGUCAGUGCUACUACUUCUCUUCUGCCAAAAAGACCUGGGAGCAGAGCAAAGAGGACUGCUGCUCCAGAGGGGCACAGCUGGUCACCAUCCGAACUAACGCCACCCUGGCGUUCCUGACGCGCAUGUCCGACACGGAUAUGUUUCACGUGGGGCUGAAGCGUGACAGUUCCCGGGCUGACUGGAAGUGGCUGGAUGGCACUGCGCUGAAGGGGUAAGGCUUUCAGCUUGCCCCCCAGCCAGGGUUGCUGGGGAUCCUGUCCCAUCCCCGGGCUCUGGGAGGUGACUGGGGGACAGGGAGAGUGCAGACGGGCAGAGAUGUGCUCCCCAACUUGGCCACCUCUCCCCUCUCAGGGCUACACUGGGGCAUUUUAGGGGAGGGAAGAUUGCAGAGGUCUGACCCUAUCAUUCACACCCUGGGGACAAACGAGGUCUGGAUGCAAGGCUGGGGGAUCCCCCAAGAGCAGGUUUCCAGCAUGAGGUCCU
rnacentral:lncRNA from 1 species